AGUUGCACGGCUAUGAGUCGCGGUGUUGUGCGCGUGUUUCGUGCGGCGGCGUUACUUUGUUCUCGUCGCUGGACGUGAAGUUUGGUUUGACAACACUGCAACACGCCGCAAUGCGAGUGCGAUGGUGUGGCAAUGACCCUGUGACUCAAGCGAGCAUGCCAGCAUGCCGCUGUGUACAACGAAGCAGCUUAUAAGUGCGCCUUGUUCGCGGCGCAAUCAGGAACACAAAUGGUAGGUGUGAACAACGAAGCAGGUUAUGAGCGCGCCUUGUUCGCGGCACAAUCAGGAACACAAGUGGUAGGUGUGUACAACGAAGCAGCUUAUGAGUGCGCCUUAUUCGCUGCACAAUCAAGAACACAAAUGGAAGACAUUCAUGGGAAAGCUGCAGGAGUUGCUCAACCAUCUGUUUGUGUACAAGACAGUGUAUUGUGAGAAUACUCCCCUGUGCCUCACUGUACACCAACUUGAACAUUUUGUACAUCUUACAUUUUUUGAUAAUACUCUCACUGUGCUUUGUGAUAAACACAGAGUGCUAUGCAUGGCACUGCAUAGAACCUGUCCAAUAGCUUGCCCAUUUAAAAAUUUCGCUUUGUUAGAAACGACACUACAUGAAACCGGCUUUAUACAGCAAGUUUAUUCCUAAGAUGGACAGUUGGGUGAGUUGAUGAGUAGUAAGAGUUGAAGAAAGAGUGUAAAAGAGGCCCAUAUUAUAGUUAAAUGAGAAAGUAAUGCAGAGGACAAUGCGCUACGAGAAAGGAAAGUGUGAUGCCAACCACAAAAAGAUACACAAACAUAGUACGAAAAAAGUACAAGCUAAAAGUAUCAUGCAAUCGUAGGAUGAGUACAAACCUGGCUAAAGUAAGCAUACAUGCAAUAAGCUUCAGCUUAUAGUACUGUUCUCUUCAUUUCUGUUUGUAUGUUGGUUUGUUGCCACACUUUUUUUUACUCUGAACUGAAGUCCUAACUGCUUUAUACUCUGUGUAUAUUUGUGGUCAAAUUAGUUUCAACCUCACGCGUACCAAGCUCCAGAACAAAAUAUGCUAACCACCAUCUGCUAUAUAAAGAAAUUUUAAAUCUUAGCCUUGUGAUAGCCUAAUUUCAAGUUCAAUGCAGCCCAGGUACUUGGAAUAAUGUUAAUGUGGUAAUUAUGCAUAGGCCCAUCAGUGAGGAAUUAAAGACGAACUUUUUAGCUUGAAGAUGAUGUUGGUUAGCAUAGAAAUAUUGUAAAGAUAUAUGGACUAAUUAUGUGCAAAUAAAGCAUCGGUGUAUUACAGCUGUGUGAUAAUGCCAACAAGUUCCCAAGCACAGGCAAUUCCAGAAAAUUACGUUAUUUUCCACAUAUGUGUGAGUAAACGUGUGAAGCCAUAUACGAAUGCCAUGUUGUUAUUUUGUUGGCAUGACUGAGCAUAGUUGGCACUCACGACUUGCUAGAAUUCAACACUAAAAGACACACUGAAGCACAAUUAAGACACACACGAGCGCGAACUAACAACUGUUUUUUCGAUGAAAAUAUGACCAACAUAUGUAGGGUGAAAGGAAAGAAAAAAAGAAAGAGCGUAAGCCUGGGCCCUCCCCAUCAAAAGAAAGCAACAAUCUGUGCGACAUGAAAUCUGGCCUUGUUAACUAUCUAAAAUAUCCAUGUAAAAAGUAUAGUCAUCGUAGGACAAAUGAAUAGAUGGUGCACAAACACAUUUGUUUUCUCCAAGCGUGCGCAUCAUGAAAGCUUCAAUGAUUUCUCUUUCCUUUGUGUCUUUGUAUCUUGACAAAAUAUUGGUGUUUUCAAAACUUGACUUACAAUGGCACCGGGGUCACCGAUGUGCUUGCAGUAGUAAUCAUGCUCCCUUAAUUGUAAAUCAAGACACCUACCAGUUUUCUCAACGUACCAAUUUUCGCAUGGCAAAGAAAUACCAUAUACACCAUUUUUUUUUCACAUGGUACAAACUUGCUGACAUGUUUGACAGAACAUGUGUGGUUGUUCUUCAGGUUGUUGCCGUUUACUUGGUGACAAAGUGAAAUUGACUUGUGAGGUGCUGUGAAGUCACGGGUAUGCCAUGCCUACUUGCAAUUUUUUUCAGUCCGUGCGAAAUGCUGUGUACGUAGGGCAUAACAAUAGGCCUCUAUUUUGACUUCUUUUUUAAUGCUACGUUCGUUUCUUACGUGUUGCCGACGGUUUUUAAGAGCCUCUCGGCCAAAGCAUGAAGGCAUCAGGGUAAUCGCUGUUCCAGGGUUCAUCAACUUGCUUCAUCAAAUUUCGUGCCACCAUGUGGUCACACAAUUUUUGGCAGCUAUUAAAUAUGGAUGCAUACGCGACGUUUAAGUGUGUCUUUAAGUAGUUCAAUUUGAGGGCGCCCUGAGUGUCAACCAUGCACAAACUAGCCCCUACUCUCGCCCUUAUGGAUCAACACUUUUAUAAAUUUUGGUAAGUGGAUGUACAACAAGCUCAACAGGUCUCAUUUGAACUUUUCUGUAAAAAACUGGACUUUUGAUCAUAUCACACACGUUUUUAUGCCAUAGGUCAAGCUAAUGCAAUAAAAAACUUCAUAUCUACCUGGAUGGUUGCAUAUUUCAUAAAAGUACCGCUAGUCUUAUUGUACUAAUUUGCUAACCAGCAUGUGUAGACUGACACCAAUUUUCUUGUACAUCCCAUUUCUUUAGAUUAUGCUUAUAUUCUUUAAAUUGUGCACUGUGAAGUGCACAUGUCACUGUGUGUAUGAUGAGAUUUUUCGCUCUAGUUUCGUCGUGCUAUACUACGGUGAAUAAUAAAUGGUGCUUGGGCUGCGCCAUGUAUGUUUCUAUUGUUUUGUUUUAGGUAUAGGUAUUGUAUACAAAUAUGUAAAUAUACAUGUGCUUACACUGACACGACAACUGAUGCUGUUAUGGUUCGAAUAAAAUAUUUCAAACGCUGUAUCGUUUGAGGUGUGCAAUAGGAAUUGAUGAAAUGGCUGGUGGCUCAACAUUAUGGCUUGUGCUUUUAUUACCAACCAAGCAGAGCCAAUGUUUUACUCUUCAGAAUUAUUGUGGAAAAUAAAUAGGUGACAGGCAAGCAGGCAGAACGUUUUCGCUCUGUUUAUGCAUACAUUGGAGGUUCUUCUUCAAUCGCAACAUAACUGAAGUGGCAUGUUGCAUGAUUGAAGUUUAACGUAAUAUGUAUGUAACGACACAGUGGUACAAUAAGUAGCAUUUUCCCGUUUUUUGUGUAUUUGCUACCCUCAUCGGGGUUUCUGUAUUAUGGCUACGAAAUUCUGAAUGGCGAAGAAGCUAAUCUGUCUUCUUCUGUGCGUAUGGUAUACUACCAAUUGAAAAACAAUUGUUUAAUGAAGAGCAGCUCUUUCGCUGAGAAAGACUGUAACGCUGCGUUUGUUUUUAUUUCGUGCUACUACAUCUGUGCGACAGGAGUGCCAAGUACACGUGGUUGUUCACAAGGGUGAAGUUCUUGUGAAAUAACUUCACUUUUUAUCGGGAGACUUGUCAACUGCUAAUUUGUGGUAGUUGUGCAGAUAUUGGGGCAUGCCUUAGGCGUUGCUUUUAAUUCAUAUGUCUAAUAUUUAAAAAUAAAGGUUUAUUGGUAAAAUUCUGCGUGGUCAACUAGUACUAAAUCAACUGAAUAUUGAGUUUGGGUUAGAGAAGCAUUUUGUGGCGAGAUGAAAUACUAGUUGCGAAUAAGUGCUAAUUGCGGAUAUAGAUUAUCGUUCAGCUGCUCAUAAGGCGGUGCUGCCGUUGCGUUUGACUUCCGACAGCACGCGUGCAGUAAAGGCAUAAGGUUUAGGCGUGUUACAGAGUCCUUGUAACUUUGGCACCUGCAUGUGCGUCCACACAAGGGGGGGAGGGGGCACCAUCCCACGCAAUCGCCUAGAGAGGGAGUCUGGAGUCCGCUUCGUACAUUGACUUAGUAGAGAGAGUAGAUGCUGCGAAAAACCUUCGCCUCUCCCCUCUCUCGCUGCAUAAAAAUCCUGUGCACGCUUAUGAGCAUCUCCUUGGGUAACUUUCAUUUUUUAUAUGCUAUGAGAAACGGCGGCGUUGGUGAACGUGCUGGUGGCAGACGAGAACGACAAACGAUGGCACGCUCACUCUCAGCGGCUGCUCAUAGUCAGUCGCGUCAGAAUCUUGAAAUGAUAGAGAUGUUGCUCAGUGUUUCAUUCUCGUCUCUGAAGAUUCUGUGCGGUGGCAGUACCAGACAUCUAUCUACAAUGCGAAUCUAGGAGGUCUCGAACAACUUAGAACACGCCGCUGCCAUGGGACGCGUGCAGGUAGAGGCACAAAUACCGAAAAUAGCUGUACAGCAUAUGCCCAUGGAAGGCACAUUUGUUCAGCCAUCUGUAGAUAACUUUUGUCCGGGAGAAUCCACAAAUUCGGGCGAGUGAAGCACUGUCGGUGUAUGGAGAAGUGCCCAAGUGAGCACACGUUUACCAUUUUUCUAGCGGCACGAAACGACGAUCUGAAUAGUUCGAAGCCGAAGGCGUUUAAGCAUGGCCGGCAUGGCACCCUUCAGUUUAGGCAGUGGACUUGCACAAGCACUGACCACAUUCCGCUGCUACAAGAACGAAAGUUUGAAAUAUCGCAGACGUGUUGGUAGCCGAUUUGUACAUAGAAAUCUCCGUGAUAAACCAGACAAGGUAGUGGUGGUGCUGUGGUAUAAACGUUAUCGUGUUUGCUUUCAGUGCGUGUGGUCACGAGUUUGAUUCCUGUGUCGUGCGUACUUGUAUGCAAAUGUCAUGUUUGUGCUUGAAUGCUUAGAUGUACGUUUUCUGGUGUGUCCCUGCGAUGAAUAUUAGCAAUAAAUGUCUCCAAAACUGUAA